rnacentral:rRNA from 1 species
UAGGGAUCCACACAAUGGCGAAAGCCUGAUGCAGCAACGCCGCGUGAGCGAUGAAGGCCUGUCGGGUCGUAAAGCUCUUCAUCAAGGAAGAUAAUGACGGUACUUGAGAGAGUCCAG